UCUGACACCCUGGUUAUAUCCAUUUGCUUAGCUGGAAGUGUUGACUCUUUUCUAAUAAACUUUGCUUACUGUACUCUCCUUUUGUCCACAUUUCUAAUUCUUUGUGACCAGCAGAGAAGAACCUGCCCAGGUGUUGGGUCUGUACACCUAGCACUUCAUAUCCCGGAAGCUACGUUGUAUCUCAUUAAGUUUACCCAUGUGUAAUACUAGCCUAUAUCCUGUUCUAGUGAAAUGCCCCCAGUUUCUCAGUGAAAUAACUGUGGAGUCUUUGCAGAGAGAGUGUUCUUAUGGCAACUGUGUUUGUGGGGUGUCUUGGUGUCUUAAAGUAAAUGAAGCGUCUGGUCCCCUCCUGCAUUUCUUUGGCCUUCCUAGCAUUCUUGGAGUGGACAAAAUUUGGAUAAUUGCACCUUCUCCUAAAGCACUGGAUUCUGCUCAGAAGUUUGGACCAACUUCUAGAAGGGAUAGAGUUUGACUGAGAUGGGUAAAUUUUAGAAUUUUUGGUCCCUUUUUCCAUGAAAAGAAAA